CCUGCUGGCGGCUGCUGCUAUAUGGCUUGGACUUAGGCAUGCAAGUCUGUUGAAAGACGGCGAACUGCUCAGUAACACGUAGUUAAUCUGCCCUAUGGUCAAGGAUAACCUCGGGAAACUGAGGCUAAUACUUGAUAGAAGAUUUUGUUGGAACACUUUUUCUUUGAAACUCGUGCCAUAGGACGAGACUGCGCCUGAUUAGGUUGUUGUUGGGGUAAUGGCCCAACAAGCCGAUGAUCAGUAAGGGCUCUUAGCGGAGUAGCCCUGAGAGGGAAUCUGAGACACUAUUCCCAGCUCUACGGAGUGCAGCAGCUGCGAAUUUUUUACAAUGCACGAAAGUGUGAUAGAGCGAGCCAAAGUGCUUUUCAUACGAAAAGCUUUUCUUUGCUGUAAAAAUGCAGAGGAAUAAGGACUGGGUAAGACUGGUGCCAGCCGCCGCGGUAAUACCAGCAGUUCAAGUGGCAUCCAUUUUUAUUGGGUCUAAAACAUCCGUAGCUUGUUAAAUAAGUCUCUUGUAAAAUCCUAUAUCUCAAGUAUAGGUCUGGCAAGAGAUACUAUUUAGCUAGAGACCGGUAGAUGUAAGGAGUACGCUCAAGGUAAUGGUAAAAUAUGUUAAUCUUGGGUGGACUAACAAUUGGCGAAGGCACCUUACAAGGACGGAUCUGACAGUG
rnacentral:rRNA from 1 species